UAAACCUUUAGAGUUGCUGCUGGUUCUCUAGAGACAUGUGCACACUUGUCGUCUUUAUAUCUCCACUUGUGCACCUUUUGUAGACCUGGAUAUCUCUCUGAAUGCUGUCUAGCAUUGAGGUUUUGAGGAUUGACUUUACUGUCUCUCCUUACAUUUCCAGGCCUAUGUUUCUUCAUAUAACCCCAAUGUAUGUUAUAGAAUGUAAUACAAUGGGCCCUUGCGCCUAUAAAUCUAUACAACUUUCAGCAACGGAUCUCUUGGCUCUCGCAUCGAUGAAGAACGCAGCGAAAUGCGAUAAGUAAUGUGAAUUGCAGAAUUCAGUGAAUCAUCGAAUCUUUGAACGCACCUUGCGCUCCUUGGUAUUCCGAGGAGCAUGCCUGUUUGAGUGUCAUUAAUAUAUCAACCUCUUCAGCUUUUGCUUGUUGAGUGUUUGGAUGUGGGGGGUUUUUUUUGCUGGCCUCUUCCGAGGUCAGCUCCCCUGAAAUACAUUAGCAGAACAAUUUGUUGACUCGUUCAUUGGUGUGAUAACUAUCUACGCUAUUGACGUGAAGCAGUUCAGCUUAUAACAGUCCAUUUACUUGGACAAUUUCUAUUAAUGUGACCUCAAAUCAGGUAGGACUA
rnacentral:rRNA from 1 species